GACGAAGGGGGCUAGCGUUGUUCGGAAUUACUGGGCGUAAAGCGUGUGUAGGCGGUUGUCCAAGUUGGAUGUGAAAGCCUUGAGCUCAACUCAAGAAAUGCAUUCAGGACUGGAUGACUAGAGGACCGGAGAGGAUAGUGGAAUUCCCAGUGUAGUGGUGAAAUACGUAGAGAUUGGGAAGAACACCAGUGGCGAAGGCGGCUAUCUGGACGGUUUCUGACGCUAAGACGCGAAAGCGUGGGGAGCAAACAGG
rnacentral:rRNA from 1 species